CUAUGACAGUUGCAGUGUAUUCACCUGGCUCCCCAGACAGCUGGCAGGGCCUGGGGCUGGUUUCUCCCGGCUUCCUUCCCACCCCCUUGCCCUGGGCCGUCCUGAUUCUCAUCUGAGUGGCAGGGUCAGAUAUAUCUCAGUGGUGUGUCUCCUGGGUUCUUACCCUUCCCAGACAUGGAAGUGGAUAGAGGGCCAUGGAGGCGCAGGAACCAUGCCUUUCCCCACCCAAGGUGACCAGAGGCCAGUGGCAGAACCAAGAGAUGCUGCAGCUAGGGCCCCAGGGACCCCAGCCCCAUCUCCAUCCCCAGGCACUCCCAGAGUGUGAGCAUGAGGUAGAUGUGGACACCUGGUGAGAAGUGGUACUGAUUAGCACCCCCAUCCAUGGAUUCCAGGGCCCAGUCAUUGCAAGGGCAGUGUAGGGUGGGUGUGCAGUGGAACAAGGGUAGUGGUCUCCUGCCUCUAGCCUUCCAUCCCUGGAGCAGGUAGGCCUGUGGAGCAAGGAGGUUGUGGGCUGGGGUUGCUUGACAGGUGCUGUCCGUCCACGCUUCCUACUGGCUAGGCAAGAGUGCUGUUGGGCUCAGCUCUGGCACUUGUUAGAUGUGAGCAAUGGGCUAAUUUUAUCCAGCUGGGCUCUGCUCAGCAGGAAACCAAUGCUGUAGAGUACAUAGUUCUUCCAGGUGGCUUUGGCUAGAGGGAGGUCAGUCGCCAGUGAGGAGGUAGAAAUGCUGGGGCCUUGGUAUUGGAAGGGCCCUGGUGGUUCCUGUCUGGUCUCAAAGGCUCUGAGGUCAGUAAACUCUGAGCUGCUGGGAUCCAGGAGAAAAAAGUAUCUCAGAAAAAAAAAUAGUACAAAUUCUUUCUUGUUUUUUUUUUUCUCUUUGUUUUCUCCACCUCUGCUUCUUUCAUUCUGAAAUUCCCGAGUUCUAGCAAAGUGCCUGACACAUAGCAGGUCCCUAGAAAAUAGUUUUUUGACUUGAAAAUCAGCCAUGGACCUCUGCUUCUGGUGACCACUAGGGAGAGCUGAAAGGCAGGAAUUGAGGGCCUUCUAAAGCAAAACCUCCUAAAUCCCUGUAAGACUUGGAUAUCUAAUCCCUUUCUUUGUGCCUCUGGAGUCUCCUGUAUAUUUCAGCUCAUUAAAAUUUCAGAACUUCCUUCAAGGGUUCUAGUUCAAACCAGCACCCACUCUAUCUAGGCACCAGCUGUCAGACAUCAGGGAUUUCCUGGGGGAUCUGUUAUUCCUUUCAGGGGGCCUACUCUGCUGCUGUGGAGAAGUGGAGAGGAGCUGCUGGCUCCUUCUUCAGACAUGAAAAGGCCCUGGAGGAGAGCUUGUGAUCAUAAAAAGUAUGGGAUUCCAUGGCUUUGAAAUCUAAUGCUCUAAGUGAUCAAAAGACUGGGGUUUUGGGGCUACUAGAGGAGGGACUGAAGGGGCAGCGGAACUUGUGUGGGAGGGCCUAGAGCUAGGCAGCAAGGCAGAGUAAUUAGUCUCCUUGGGAGGAGACAAGGAGGCUGGCAGCCUGAGGAUUUCUGUACUGAGUCAGGGGAGAAAUGACAGUCACCAAGAGCAGAGUAGUAAACCCUCUCUUAGAGAAAACCAGCCCCCUCUCUUUACCCCUCCCGUGUUCAGUAUAUGACCACAGAGAGAUGGACUUUAUUUGUACCUUUUGGUUUCCUGGGGGUCAAAAGCAGUAGGUGGGACCAGCAUUCCAAGGCCAAGGCUGCAUGAAAGUCUGGAGUGCUUGGAAAGCAAGAACACCAGAAGUAUGUAUGUCCUCAUCUGUAAAAUAAGGGGUUUGAACUGGCCCAGAAGUUCAUGUCUUGGCAUGCUCUGUCACUGAUGAACUAUGUGAACCUGCUCAGUCCCUUGCUUUCUCCAGGCCUCAGUUUCCCCAUUAAAUUCAAUGCAGAGGAUGGACAAAGGUACUCUCAGCUUUGUCAUUUGUUGUAGGUCUCUCUCCUUCAUCACCCUCAAUUCCAGGGUCUGUUGCUGUCUGGCUGUUACUCAGCUAUACCAGUCCCUUCACAUUCUCCCAUAGAUAACAAGGGAGAGAAUUAAAAUGGAUUGUUGCUAAGGUCUUUGUCCAUUCUCAACAUGGCAUGUAUGUAGCAAGGUGGUAGCCUUGGUAAGGCCUCCACUUGGCUUCAGCUACUGUGUUCUCAUCUUGUAAAGUCACUACUUUUCCACUUCAGGGCUCCCUAAAAAUCUAAUCCUGAAUAGUCCAUCCGUCUCCAAGCCCCUUUUAUAUAUAGCUCCUUUUCCAAUUUCUGCUCUCACAGAGAGUAAAGACCCUGGCCGAAAUUUUAUUUGAAAUGAGAUUUCAGUUUUGAAGCCAAACUUCCCACUGUUAACUAGAUUAAAACUAUUUUACCCUAUAGGCAACACACACACCAAAUCUAGAUUUUUAGAUCUGUUUAUUUUGUUCCAAACCUUUUGAGGAUUUAAAUGUCUCAGAUCUCAAGCUCCCAAAUUUUGUUCGUUCUCCUAGAUUUAACUGUGCUGCAUUAGAGGCUGCAUCAUACCCUAAAUAUUAAUACUGAGCUGCGUUCACCAACCAACAUUCUCUCCAAAAGCACACAAGCUCACACAUGUACAUGCACAUAUGUGGAAGAAAUAAACUGACACCCCAACUAUGUUAUGUGAUAACUGAUAGGGCAGAUUUGGGACCUGUGAAUGUCUUUCCUUCAUCUGGAGAGAAGUGGUUGGCAGCCUGAUUUUUAAGAGCUAUCUUCACCUUGAGCAACAAAGGAGGCCCUGGAGACUGCCCUCCUAUGACUUGGUGGGGGAGGGACAGGAGAAAUGGGAGCAGGGGUUUUGUUGCUCCAAUAUUUUCAAUGGUCUCUCCUUGGAGUUACAAGGCUCCUGGGGCCCAGCUUCCCCUGUCCCAUGCUAUUUGAGCCAGGAGGAUAAUUAGGUCCCUUACUACCCACAGGGCUAAGAGCCAGUGAGUUUUCCUUUGGGAAGUUAAUAAAAGCAGGACGUUGGCCUUGAAUGAGGCCAUCAUAAGCCAACCAUGCCCCAGCUGCCUGUUUGUAAUGGAAAAUGUUAUGGUUAGGGACCACUAUUUUCUUUGGAGCCCCUCAUAGGGAACCUCCUCAUCCUCCUGACCCUGGAUGCUCUGAGUUAGGGUGGCAAGUCACUGUUAGCUCCAAGUAACAACCAAGGAUGCCUGAUAAGAAGGUGAUAAAAAAAAUUAGGGUAACAGGAGCACAACAGACAAAGGCCCAGAAUAGAGAGAAAGAAAUACAAAGAGACCAAGUAAGGAGAGAGACUGAGCUCCUAAGGAGGUGAGUUGAGCUAACUUGGACACAGCCUGGCUGGAAAUGCUCUUCAGCAAGAGUGUUGCCCAAAAUCUGAACAUAGGUAAGCAUCUGGCACCUAUUUCAGGGGGAUUAAGAUGGUCCAGAGUCUACCUUUCCUGGCACCUUUAAUGUCCAGAGUGGCUCAGGAUGCCCAGCAUGGGAGACAUACUGGGUGGUAAAGGUUAAGAUUUCCUCUUUCUAAAAGAAACUGUUAAAUCCUACAUGCAGCUACCACUUCUACCUUUUGGGGAUCCAGGUAGGGAAUGGGAUUUUCCCUAAAACAGUCCCUUUCCUGCCCUGCCCCAGGUGGAAAGAUUAACCUAUCAUGACUAAUGAGAAAUGGAGGAGUUGGUCCUUUGCCAGGUCAAUAACUAUUGCCCCUCCCCCAACCAUGCCCUUCCCCGUCAUCAGUCGCUCCUCUGCCUGCUGAGAUGAAAGUAAUUUCUUCGCAUUUUGACAGGUGAAUACACAGAUGGGGAGCUGGAAGUGCCUGCAGGUUAAUGCACUGGCCUGGGAAAUCUGUAAAAAUCAGGUAUCAACAAUGCUCUUCUUGGAGAGUGGAGAAGGAAACUGAGAGUAUUGAAAGACUGCAAGCCAACAUUUUUGCCUGCUACCUGCUGGAAGUAAGCCUCACUGGCCCGGUCCUAGGAUUUGACUUUAAUCAAAUCUCUUCUACAGGCUCAGUUCAGAAGCCAAUAGAGAAGAAGGGGUGUGUCUCCAAAAAUACCUGGAAAGAAGCCAGAAAUAUUAAACAGCCUUGGGUUCAGCUGACUUCUUUUUCAACAUAAGAUUCCCUCAGGAAUCCUGUAAGAUCUCUCCUUUGAACAUGUUCCAAGUCUUC